UACGUAGGGUGCUAGCGUUACUCGGAUUUACUGGGCGUAAAGCACAUGUAGGUGGAUUUGUAAGACAGAAGUGUAAUCCCCAAGCUCAACUUGGGAACUGCUUUUGUGACUGCUUAUCUGGAGUACGGUAGAGGAUGAUGGAAUUUCUAGUGGAGGGGUAAAAUCCGUAGAUAUUAGAAGGAACACCAGAAGCGAAAGCGAUCAUCUGGGCCGUUACUGACACUGAGAUGUGAAAGCGUGGGGAGCAAACAGG
rnacentral:rRNA from 1 species